UAGAAAUGUAGCACAAGCCUCAAAUACAAGCCACAUACAUACUUUUACAUUUUUUAGUAGCCACAUUAAAAUAAGUAAAAUUAAAUAGAUAAAAUUAAUUUUCAUACUAUAUUUUAUUUAACCCAAUAUAUCAAAAAUAUUGUAAUUUCACAUGCAUGUCACAUAAACAUUAUCAAUGAGCCAUUUUUCAUUUUUUUUAUAACAACUCUAGCAGCCCAUCUCAAUUUGAACUAGCUUAAUAGCCACAUGGGGCUUACUGCUACUGUAUUCAACAGCACAGCUCUGGAACCCUCUUCAUUUUCCUUUCUCUCUUCCUUUUCAUUUGUCUUUCCACUGCUUACGCCCUGUGCCCCUACUUGCUCCCCUCCUCUUCCCUCUUCUGUACUAUCAGUUUCAUUCAGAAAUGCCCUCCCCAUACCUCUGCCACCUCAAUCGCACCCACCCUGCUAGGUGGGAUCAGAUACAUCUGCUAGGACAGUCUCAAGACUGGUUAAUAUUAUGAUUAAUUAACAUCCAAAUAGCCCUUAGUAAAGAAUCCUUACUUUCAUUGGCUCAUUAAUAAUGGCAUGUAAUAAGUGCCAUUAUUUCCUCUUUAUUGUUGAAGAAACAGGUUCAAUUUCAAACUAUUCAGUGGUAGAGCAAGGACUUGGAAGCAGGUGUUCUGGGUUCAGAGCUUCCCACCAUGCCACACACAUGCUGCCAUUGCAGAAAGAAACCUCCACUCGGUGGCUUCCCUCACUCCCUUCUGACGGGAAAGAAAGAAAAUUAAAUAGCAGGUCCAGUAAAUUAUAACAUGUGCUGUAAUAGGAUAGGUAGAGGGUUCUAGGAGAGCAUUUGGAAAGGGCAUUUAACCUAUCUUGGGGGAAGUCACAGGAGAUAUGGGAUUGCAGAGCAGAAUGAAGUGACCCAUACAGGGAAUAAACCUAUGACCUUGGCCUCCUAAUCUCUCUCUCCUUACAGAUUCAGCUUCUGAUGGGGUUGCUUCUGAAAAGACCCCGGUGAGGUAAGUCAUAGUUUUAAUCAACUGCCAUGUUAUAGUUUAUUUCAGGCAAGUGGUUUAGGCACUGUCACAUUAUAAAUGUCAUUACUAGCUAAGACUGGCCUGAGGCUCAGUGAGCCACAGACAGUUUGAGAAUAUCUGC
rnacentral:lncRNA from 1 species